GACGAACGCUGGCGGCGUGCUUAACACAUGCAAGUCGAACGAUGAAGCCAGCUUGCUGGUGGAUUAGUGUCGAACGGGUGAGUAACACUUGUGUGAUCUGCCCCAAACUUUGGGAUAAGCCUGGGAAACUGGGUCUAAUACCGAAUAUGACCGAUACUCGCAUUGGUGUUGGUCGAAAGCUCCGGCGGUUUGGGAUGGGCCCGCGGCCUAUCAGCUUGUUGGUGGGGUAAUGGCCUACCAAGGCGACGACGGGUAGCCGGCCUGAGAGGGCGACCGGCCACCAUGGGCCUGCGAGACGGACCAGAAUCCUAUGUGAGGCAGCAGUGGGGAAUCUUGCAGAGCGGCGGCACGUCUGAUGCAGCGACGCUGCGUGCGGGAUGCCGGGUUUCGGGUUGAAAACAUAUUUCAAAAGGGAUGAAGCGAACGUGACGGUACCUGGAGAAGAAGCAACGGCCAACUACGUG
rnacentral:rRNA from 1 species